UACGGAGGAUCCGAGCGUUAUCCGGAUUUAUUGGGUUUAAAGGGUGCGCAGGCGGGAUGUUAAGUCGGCGGUGAAAUUUUGCGGCUCAACCGUAAAAGUGCCUUCGAAACUGGCCUUCUUGAGUAUGGAUGAAGUAGGCGGAAUUUGUGGUGUAGCGGUGAAAUGCUUAGAUAUCACGAGGAACUCCGAUUGCGCAGGCAGCUUACUAAACCAUAACUGACGCUCAUGCACGAAGGCGUGGGGAUCAAACAGGAUUAGAUACCCUGGUAGUCCACGCAGUAAACGAUGAUUACUAGUUGUUUGCGAUACACAGUAAGCGACUGAGCGAAAGCAUUAAGUAAUCCACCUGGGGAGUACGUUCGCAAGAAUGAA
rnacentral:rRNA from 1 species